GACGAACGCUGGCGGCGCGCUUAAUACAUGCAAGUCGAGCGAGAACCAGGGCUUCGGCUCUGGGGACAGCGGCGAACGGGUGAGUAACACGUGGGUAAUCAACCCCCGACACCGGGAUAGCCCAGGGAAACUUGGAUUAAUACCGGAUGCCCCGUCUGGCCUUCGGGCCGGCCGGAAAAGGGUAGCUUCGGCCUCUGGUCGGGGACGAGCCCGCGGCGGAUUAGCUUGUUGGUGAGGUAAAGGCUCACCAAGGCGACGAUCCGUAGCUGGUCUGAGAGGACGAUCAGCCACACUGGGACUGAGACACGGCCCAGACUCCUACGGGAGGCAGCAGUAGGGAAUCUUGCGCAAUGGGCGAAAGCCUGACGCAGCGACGCCGCGUGAGGGAAGAAGGCCUUCGGGUUGUAAACCUCUUUCAGGAGGGACGAAGCCACUCGGGUUAAUAGCCUAGAGGGUGACGGUACCUCCAGAAGAAGCCCCGGCUAACUACGUGCCAGCAGCCGCCGCAG
rnacentral:rRNA from 1 species